GCCGGGCGCGGUGGCGCGCGCCUGUAAUCCCAGCUACUCGGGAGGCUGAGGCUGGAGGAUCGCUUGAGCUCAGGAGUUCUGGGCUGCAGUGCGCUAUGCCGAUCGGGUGUCCGCACUAAGUUCGGCAUCAAUAUGGUGACCUCCCGGGAGCGGGGGGCCACCAGGUUGCCUAAGGAGGGGUGAACCGGCCCAGGUCGGAAACGGAGCAGGUCAAAACUCCCGUGCUGAUCAGUAGUGGGAUCGCGCCUGUGAAUAGCCACUGUACUCCAGCCUGGGCAAUAUAGCGAGACCCUGUCUCUU
ensembl:misc_RNA Metazoa_SRP Metazoan signal recognition particle RNA